AGAAUCAACGCUGGCGGCGUGCCUAACACAUGCAAGUCGAACGAGAAAGUGGAGCAAUCCAUGAGUAAAGUGGCGCACGGGUGAGUAACACGUGACUAACCUACCCUUGAGUGGGGGAUAACCUAGAGAAAUCUGGGCUAAUACCGCAUAAUACCUUCGGGUCAAAGGAGCAAUUCGCUUAAGGAGGGGGUCGCGGCCGAUUAGUUAGUUGGCGGGGUAAUGGCCCACCAAGACUAUGAUCGGUAUCCGGCCUGAGAGGGCGCACGGACACACUGGAACUGAAACACGGUCCAGACUCCUACGGGAGGCAGCAGUGGGGAAUUUUGCGCAAUGGGGGAAACCCUGACGCAGCAACGCCGCGUGGAGGAUGAAGUCCCUUGGGACGUAAAACUCCUUUCGAUCGGGACGAUAAUGACGGUACCGAGAGAAGAAGCCCCGGCUAACUUCGUGCCAGCAGCCGC
rnacentral:rRNA from 1 species